UACGUAGGGGGCGAGCGUUGUCCGAAUUUACUGGGCGUAAAGCGCGCGUAGGCGGACCUUUAAGUGGAGGGUGAAAUCUCAGGGCUUAACCCUGAAACUGCCUUCCAAACUGGGGGUCUUGAGGUAUGGAGAGGGAAGUGGAAUUCCAGGUGUAGCGGUGAAAUGCGUAGAUAUCUGGAGGAACACCCGUGGCGAAGGCGGCUUCCUGGUCAUAUCCUGACGCUGAGGUGCGAAAGCUAGGGGAGCGAAC
rnacentral:rRNA from 1 species